rnacentral:lncRNA from 1 species
CCCUGGAGAAUAGGGAUGAAGAAUCCGAUGAUGAUGAAUUUGACGAAGGCCAAAAAAGCAUCAAGAAACGUAAGGAUGAGGGUUCUAGUAAUGGGAUUUUGAUAAGGGAAAGAAGCUUGAAGGAGGGUUUUAAUGAGGGAUUGAAUAACAGGAAUGAGAAGAUUGUUGUUUUGUCAGAGCCGCAAGCUUUGACUUGUGGCAUAAUUUUUUCAUUUCCUUCUCAUCCCACAUCGGAGCCU